rnacentral:sRNA from 1 species
UGCCCCUUAGAGUUGGUGAAGUGCUCUGAAAAUUGGGCUUGGCUCUGCACCCAUUUUCAAGACGAAAAAUACUUGAAAAGAGCCAAGGCCAACACAAUAAAUAGGUCGAAAAAGAAGCUUAUCCACCACUCCGGCUUCCGACGCUUCUCAUAUAGGAUGGAGGAGCGACGUCGGGCUGACGGGGUCAAAGUUUCCUAAGAUUGACACAUUCAAUGAGGUGUACGUGCGGCCUGGUGAUGAGUUGACGAAUGAGAUCCAUGCUACUAUGGUCGAGAUGAAUCAGGUUGUCCUCGAGGAAGUGGCUUCCCAGCUUCCCCCUGACACCACAAUGGAGAAGUUACCCCCUUCCUCGAGGAUGCGGGUUUUCGUAUCAUGACAGACACCAUCAACCAGAAACUCUGUCUUAUGCAGGGGAAGGUGUAUCAAGGCAUGGGAAAUCCCGCCAUCAUGAGAUGGGGGCAUCAUCUUCCACCUCCACCUCGGGACAGGUCACAUUAUUGACGGAGCAAGUAGUGGAACUCCAAUAGCAGGUGGCGGCCCAAAAUCAGUACAUUAUGAUGCAAACUACCCUCAUCGCCACCCAGCAUGCUCAUAUUGCUGCCCAAGAGUCUAGGAUGGCCCAAAUCAUCACCGCGUUUAUGAGGGGAGGCUUCGACAUCCCCGCCACUACACCUCAUACUACUACGCCUUCGACUUCCCAAGCCCUCGACCCAGCACAGCCAACUGCCGAAGCUAACUCUGAUGACUUUUUAUUUUAGUUUUUUUUAAUUAAACCUUCGUACUUUUACAAAAUCUGGGCUUACGAAUCUGUUGAGCCUUUUCG